AUUGAACGCUGGCGGCAUGCCUUACACAUGCAAGUCGAACGGCAGCACGGGAGCAAUCCUGGUGGCGAGUGGCGAACGGGUGAGUAAUAUAUCGGAACGUGCCCAGUCGUGGGGGAUAACGUAGCGAAAGCUACGCUAAUACCGCAUACGAUCUAUGGAUGAAAGCGGGGGAUCGCAAGACCUCGCGCGAUUGGAGCGGCCGAUAUCAGAUUAGGUAGUUGGUGAGGUAAAGGCUCACCAAGCCGACGAUCUGUAGCUGGUCUGAGAGGACGACCAGCCACACUGGGACUGAGACACGGCCCAGACUCCUACGGGAGGCAGCAGUGGGGGAAUUUUUGGGACAAUGGGCGCAAGCCUGAUCCAGCAAUGCCGCGUGCAGGAUGAAGGCCUCGGUUGUAAC
rnacentral:rRNA from 1 species